AGAUUGAACGCUGGCGGCAGGCCUAACACAUGCAAGUCGAGCGGCAGCACGGGUACUUGUACCUGGUGGCGAGCGGCGGACGGGUGAGUAAUGCCUAGGAAUCUGCCUGGUAGUGGGGGAUAACGCUCGGAAACGGACGCUAAUACCGCAUACGUCCUACGGGAGAAAGCAGGGGACCUUCGGGCCUUGCGCUAUCAGAUGAGCCUAGGUCGGAUUAGCUAGUUGUGAGUAAUGGCUCACCAAGGCGACGAUCCGUAACUGGUCUGAGAGGAUGAUCAGUCACACUGGAACUGAGACACGGUCCAGACUCCUACGGGAGCAGCAGUGGGAAUAUUGGACAAUGGGCGAAAGCCUGAUCCAGCCAGUGCCGCGUGUGUGAAGAAGGUCUUCGGAUUAGAAAGCAACGUUUAAGUAGGAGAAGGCAAGUUACCUAAUACGUAUCUAGUUUGACGUUACGA
rnacentral:rRNA from 1 species